GAUAUUCAUAGUUCUGCAGCAACCUUUGAGCAAUUUGGAAAUAUUAAAAAAAAUGUAACCACUGUUGCUGAGAUUCAAAAUAAUAUUUUUAAAUAUAAAGUGAUUUACGAAUACUUUCAGGCUUCUUCUACACUGUGUCGCAACGUGGGAAAAGAAUACUAAACCUCGGAAAAUAUCGAUAUCACGAAAAGGCUCUAAUGGAACCUGGAAAAUUCAGGUGGUUUUGUGCCAAAUACUACGACAGCAGCAUAAGAUGUAGAGCUGCUCUAAUAACAUACAAGGAUAGGAUCGUUAAACAUCAGGUAAACGAGCUUUCUUUACUCAGUCUCGUCGUGGCGGUGUCAUUCUUCAUAUAGGACAAUACACAUUCAACAAGAGUUACUACACAUCCGCAAAUUUCGAGAGCUCGAAAACUUCGUGGAUAUGCACUAGUUACUAUGGACGGGAUAAAUGCAAAGUCAGAGUGAAAACUCACGGAGCCCACGUCAUCUCCAUAAAAGGACAACAUAGUCAUUAAUAAAUUUUGCUUAAGCAAUAUU